UUUUUUUUUUUUUUUUUAGUCUAAUUAAAUGUCAAUUUUAUCUUUUCAAAAAACCAACUUCUGGGUUUGGUUUGUUCUUGCUUUUCUAGUUCUUUAAGAUGCAUUAUUAGGUUGUUUAUUUGAGCCUUUCUACUUUCUACUAGGCAUUUAUUGAUUAAAAAAAAAAACAAAAAAUUCCCUUUUAGCGCUGCUUUUGCUAUAUCCUAUAGGUUUUGGUAUGUUGUGUUUCCAUUUCAUUUGUUUCAAGACAUUUUUAAAUUUCCUUCUUAAUUUCUUCAUCGACCCAUUGAUUGUUCAGGAGCACGUUGUUUAAUUUCCAUGUGUUUUUAUAGUUUCCAAAGUUUGUCUUGUUACUGAUUUCCAGUUUUUUCCCAUUGUGGUCAAAAGAGAUUCAUGAUGUGAUCUCAAGUUUUUUGAAUUUGUUGAGACUUGUUUCGUGGCCUAACAUAUGAUCUAUCCUGGAGAAUGUUCCACAUGCUCAUAAGAAGAUUGUAUAUUCUGCAGCACUUGGAUGAAAUGUUCUGUAAACAUCACUUAGGUCCAUUUGGUCUAGAGUGUAGUUUAACUCUGAUGUUUCUUUGCUAAUUUUCUGUCUGGAUGAUCUGUUCAUUACUAAAAGUGAGAUGUUGAAGUCCUCUACUAUUAUUGUAUUACAGUCUAUCUCUCCUUUAGAUCCAUUAAUAUUUGCCUUAUGUAUUUGGCUAUUCCAGUAUUGUAUGUGUGUGUGUAUAAAAUUGUUAAGCCCACUUACUGAAUUGACCCAUAUAUCAUUAUACAGUGGCCUUCUUUGCCUCUUUUUAUGGCUUUUGACUUGAAGUCUACUUUAUCUGCUAUGAGUUUAGCCACUCCUGCUCUUUUUUGGUUUCCAUUUUCAUGGAAUAUCUUUUUCCAUCCCUUCACUUUCAAUCUAUGUGUGUCUUUAUAGGCAAAGCAAGUUUCUUUUAGGCAGCAUAUAAUUAGGUCUUGUUUCUGUAUCCAUUCAGCCACUCCGUCUUUUUAUUGGAGAAAUUUAUUUAUUUACAUUUAGUGCUAUUAUUGAUAGGUGAGGAUUUACUACUGCCAUUUUGUUACUUGUAUUUUGGCUGAUUUGUAACUCCUUUCCUCAUUUCUUCUCUUGUGGUUAGGUGAUUUUCCUGGUAGUGUGUUUUCAUUUCUUGCCUUUUAUUUUCAGGCAUCAAUUAUAGGUUUUUACUUUGUGGUUACCAUGAGGCUUACAAAAAAUAUCUUAUAACAAGUUAUAUUAAAUAGAUGACAAAUUUGAUCACAAGGAAAAAAAACAAACAGAAAAAGCUAUAAAACUCUACACCUUAACUCCGUCUUCCCCUUGUACUCCCUGCACCUCUUUGAUAAGGUCAGUACUCCCUGUACUUCUUUGAUAAGGUCAGUACUCCCUGCACCUCUUUUAUAAGGUCAUUGAUCCUACUCAAGAGACAGUUGCCCUCAUGACUUAUCACAUCUUAAGGGCCCCACCUCUUAAUAUUAUCACAUUGGUGAUUAAGUUUCAAUACAUGAAUUUUUGGGGGACACAUUCAGACCAUAGCAAUCACUGAAUGUUUAAUUGUUUUAGCUCUGAAUUUACCCAUGUGGUAGAUUGUUUAAUGACCCCAAAUCCCCUCCCUUACCUCCCAAUUCCAGUAUUCACUCCUCUUUAUAAUAUGUCUUUGCUUCACAUCCAUCUAGAGGUGGCGUCCAUUUCUCCAUCCCCUUGAAUUUUGGUUGACUUUGUUUGCUUUUAUCAAUAGAAUGUGAUGGAAGUGAGGUUGUUUGAGUUCCUGAGCCUAGGUAUCAAGUAGCCUUGAAAGUACUGCUUUCACCUUUUGGAACACUGCUCAGAGCUGCCAUGUAAGGAAACUAAUCUAGUCUACAGGAGACUGGAAAGCCACAUGGAGAAAAAUCGAGGCACCCCAGCCAGCACCAACUGCCAGACAUGCUGGAAUGCUACAACUACAUUCUUCAAGACUCCCUUGUAGCUAGUUUCUGCAUGUAACCUAGCUAUUGCCAAGAAGACACAUUGCUUGAGACUAGGAGGCAGAGAUGCUAAAUGUGAAUGAUAGCUCCACAGAGAGAGAGAGAUCAGAUCUUGCAAAGUGCAGUAAACAAGGCACUUGGAUAUCCUGGGACAGCUGCUCUGGGGAUUUUGGAUUCCAAAGCCCAGUUCUCUGGUCUUUCCAGAAAUUCUUACAAGAUAGUUGGCAGUCAUCCAUAAUCUCAGGAGAAGACGGCAAACUGGCUAAAAAUCAAAAGCACAUGGUAAGUUACUUGUUUUGUGCUCUAAAUGACUAAAUCUUUAGGGACACAAUAGAUUCUGGGUUUGAACAAAAUGUUUGGGAGAGGGAGGAGCGUUCCUCUAAAUGUGAAAAAUAUUUUCCUGGGUCAGGGUGGGGGAGAAUUAAGGAGGUAAAUGGGUAUGAAUGCAUACAGAAGUGGGGGUCCAAAAGGGUCCUUCACCAUGCUUUCCAGCAGAGCCUGGAUGCAGUGAGGCCCCAGGGAGUGAACGGGUGUGUGGGAGGUGCAAGGACAAAUGGUCCCCUCAAAAUGUUCACGUUCUAAUUCUCAGAACUAUGUUACCUUGUGUGGCAAAAAGAGACUUUAUAGGUGUGAUUAUGUGAAAGAUCUUGAGGUGGGGAAGUAUCCUGGAAUACCCAGAUGGAACUGAUGUGAUCUCAAAGCCCCUUAUAAGAGGGAGGCGGGAGAGCCGAAUCAGCGAAGGAGUUGUGAUGAUGCUGCGCUGCUGGCUUGAGGGGUUCCAGCCAAGGAGUGCAGGUGGCCUAUAGAGGGUGGGAAAAGCAAGUUAAACAGAUUCUCCUCUAGAGCUUCUAGAAGGAACCAGCCCUGCUGACACCUUAAUUUUAGCCCAUCGGACUCAUAAAGGAAGUAAUCGUUCUUGCACAAUGAGCUUGGGGGCUGAAAUUCCUACUCUCUACACACCAAUGUUUUCACUUCUGCUUUAGGGGAGGGCAUCCACUGUGGGCCACAUGCUUUAUACAUGCUUGUUCUAGUUCAUCUUCACAACCCAAUGAUGUAAAUAUCCCCACUAUCAAUUUAAUUUAUUCCUGAAAAUGUGCCAGAUAGAGGAUUAUUGGAAUGGGCUUGUUCAAAAAUAAACUGCAAUCAAUUUGUUCCAAUUACCACCAAACAU